GGUUGUAGUGAGCUGAGAUUGUACCACUGCACUCCAGCCUGGGCAACAGUGCCAGACCCUGUCUCAAAGGUGGGGGAGAUUUUGACAUGGAGACACAGAUAUGCAUACACGGAUGUGUUGAUGAAGGCAGAGAUUGGGGUGAUGCGGCAGAAGCCAAGGAGCACUGGAUUGCCAGCAAACCAGCAGGAGGUGGGAGAGAGGCAUGGAACAGAUUCUUCCUCACAAGCUUCAGAGGGAACCAACCCUACAGACACCUUGGUCUUGGACUUCUAGCCUCCAGAACUAAUGAAGAGGUGAAGCUCAGAGAAGCCUAAUGCCACGUGGCUGAAACUUUGGAAGAAUCAAACUCAGGCUUGUGACAGCUAAAACACACUUACCACGUCUUUUAAAUGUAAAAACAGAGAGUGAGAAGGAAGAGGAGGGAGGAAAGGACGGAGAACAUUUCUUCACAAUCACCGUGAUGGAGGAAUCACACAUCAUCAGCCACAAGUCUGCAGGUGAUCCAUCUAAACUGUGAAGCAGAAUCAGCAUCAGAGUUGGAAGUGACUCUACUCAUUGACCCCCAAAAUAUCAAGUGCCUACUCUGUGUCAGGUUUGUUAGCAGAGCUGUCCCAUAAUAACUCUGGGAGCCCGCUCUGCAACAUCUGGGCACUGAGCUAGCUGGGACUGGGAGCUUCCCCUUCUCCCUGUGGGAGGGACUACACUCAAGCUCCACUUCCCAGGGGCUGGGGGCUUCUACUGUCCAUUGAGGUGGGUGGUUUACAGCUUCUCAUGGGCCUUAGGGCUCUCCGGUGCCAGGCAGAAGGCUUUCCUAGACCACUCCUGUAAGCAGCUGGCAUCCCAGAUCCAGCCUGCCUGUGCCUUUCUAUGGCCCUUCAUUACUGUUUGCUCUCUCAUUUUUCCUGUAGAGGGAGGAUAAGCAAGGGGGAUGUGGUCCCUCCACCGGAAUGCAGGCUCAGAGUAUGCCCAAGCCCCAGCACCCCUGAUGAGAUAAUGAGGAACCCAUGUCUAUCUUAUCUUACUGACCAUCGGCCCAUGUAAGUCUAUUCCUUAACCUCUGCAGCAUUGUAGAAUUUGUCCCAAAUCCUAAUACAGUGGUCCUCAAGAUUCAAAGUGCACCAGAAUCACAUGCAGGGCUUGAUAAAAUACAGGUUGAGCCGGACACGGUGGCUCACGCCUGUAAUCCCAGCACUUUGGGAGA
rnacentral:lncRNA from 1 species